UACGAAGGGUGCGAGCGUUGUUCGGAAUUACUGGGCGUAAAGGGUUUGUAGGCUGAAAUGUAAGUCAAGUGUGAAAUCCCCGAGCUAAACUUGGGACGUGCAUUUGAAACUGUGUUUCUUGAGUAUCGUAGAGGGUGGUGGAAUUGUAGGUGUAGGAGUGACAUCCGUAGAGAUCUGCAGGAACAUCAGAGGCGAAGGCGACCACCUGGCCGAUUACUGACGCUGAGGAACG
rnacentral:rRNA from 1 species